AACGAACGCUGGCGGCAGGCCUAACACAUGCAAGUCGAGCGAGCAUUUCGGUGCUAGCGGCGGACGGGUGAGUAACGCGUGGGAACGUGCCCUUUUCUGCGGAAUAGUCCUGGGAAACUGGGGGUAAUACCGCAUACGCCCUUGUGGGGAAAGAUUUAUCGGAGAAGGAUCGGCCCGCGUUGGAUUAGGUAGUUGGUGGGGUAAGUGCCCACCAAGCCGACGAUCCAUAGCUGGUUUGAGAGGAUGAUCAGCCACACUGGGACUGAGACACGGCCCAGACUCCUACGGGAGGCAGCAGUGGGGAAUCUUAGACAAUGGGGGCAACCCUGAUCUAGCCAUGCCGCGUGAGUGAUGAAGGCCUUAGGGUUGUAAAGCUCUUUCAGCUGGGAAGAUAAUGACGGUACCAGCAGAAGAAGCCCCGGCUAACUCCGUG
rnacentral:rRNA from 1 species